rnacentral:rRNA from 1 species
GACGAACGCUGGCGGCGUGCCUAAUACAUGCAAGUAGAACGCACAGUCGAUACCGUAGCUUGCUACACCAUAGAGUGGGAGGUGCGAACGGGUGAGUAACGCGUAGGUAACCUGCCUGGUAGCGGGGGAUAACUAUUGGAAACGAUAGCUAAUACCGCAUAAUAUUAAUUAUUGAAAGAUAAUUAAUUGACAGGUGCAAUUGCACCACUACAAGAGGGCCCUGCGUUGUAUUAGCUAGUAGGUGAGGUAACGGCGUAACUAAGGCACGAUACAUAGCCGACCUGGGAGGGUGGUCCGCCACCCUGGGACUGGGACCCGGCCCAGACUCCUUCGGGAGGCAGCAGUAGGGGAUCUUCGGCAAUGGGCGAAAGUCUGACCGGGCAACGCCGCGUGAGUGAAGAAGGUCUUCCGAUCGUAAAGCUCUGUUGUAAGGGAAGAACGGGUGUGAGAGUGGAAAGUUCACACUGUGACGGUAUCUUACCAGAAAGGGACGGCUAACUACGUG